GAAUUUUAUAUAUAAUAUUAUAAAUAUAAAUAUAUUUAUAAAUAGUGAAAUUUUUAUUAUAAUUUUAUAUAUUUUAUUGGGAGGAUAAUUAAAUUAAUAAAACUUUAUAUUAAUAAUACAUUAAUUUAUGAAAUAUUAUGAAUAUUAUUUUAUAUUAUUAGAAUUAAUUACCUUAGGGAUAACAGCGUUAUAUUUUUAGAAAGAUCAUAUUGAUAAAAAUUAUUGC
rnacentral:rRNA from 1 species